CCCUUAGAUGUUCUGGGCCGCACGCGUGCUACACUGAGUGGAGCAGCGGGUCAGGUUGCGCGAAAGUGUUUCCUAAUCUUGAAAUCCGCUCGUGAUGGGGAUUGACGGUUGCAAUUUUCCGUCAUGAACGAGGAAUACCUUGUAAGCGCGGGUCAUCAUCCCGCGCUGAAUACGUCCCUGCCCUUUGUACACACCGCCCGUCGCUCCUACCGAUUGAGUGGUCCGGUGAGGCUUUGGGAUCUGAGCGGAAAGAGCGUUUCGCUGUUUCUGCUCGGAAAACUCAGUCGAACCUUAUCAUUUAGAGGAAGGAGAAGUCGUAACA
rnacentral:rRNA from 1 species